rnacentral:piRNA from 1 species
UGCAGCAGGAGUACACAAGUGAAGGG